rnacentral:rRNA from 1 species
UACGGAGGAUGCGAGCGUUAUCUGGAUUUAUUGGGUUUAAAGGGUGCGUAGGCGGUCCGGAAAGUCAGCGGUAAAAGCCCGGGGCUCAACCCCGGCGAGCCGUUGAAACUGGCGGCCUCGAGUGGGCGAGAAGUAUGCGGAAUGCGUGGUGUAGCGGUGAAAUGCAUAGAUAUCACGCAGAACUCCGAUUGCGAAGGCAGCAUACCGGCGCUCAACUGACGCUGAGGCACGAAAGCGUGGGGAUCGAACAGG